AAACCGAAAUGCUGGGAUUUCGGCAUCAGUCGGUUUGAGUGCUGCGGGUAGCUAGUAAAAUUGAUGUUGGGGGGUGAUAAGCCAGUCGGCCAGUAUUAUAGCUGUUUAGUGGGGGUUAGAGCUUGGUUUAGUGCAGCGGUUAUGAGAUCGUUGCACAGUCUACAUUCUCUGUUUUUUGUUAUUUUGCUGGGGUUAGGGUUACCCUCGUUUAAAUGAAAAUGUUACAAUUCACACAAUGUGUAUAUGAAUUAGGUUGUGACCCCACAGCAUAAAUAUUUUGUUGGUGUUUAUGGGUUAAUUAGUAAUUACAUUAUCUGUGUUUAAUCUCGAGCUCAGUCCGACUGUUUAUUAAAAACAUUUCCACAGACUUAUUAUCUGUGGUAAAACCUGCCCGGUGGGUUUAACGGCCGCAGUAUAUUGACUGUGCGAAGGUAGCAUAAUUAAUUGCCCCAUAAUUGGGGGCUUGUCUGAACGGUUUCACGUGAUUGUAGGCUUAGAUCAUAGAUUUUAGUGAAUUUAACUUUACGAGUACGGAGUCUGUAGUUGUUUAGCUAGACGGAAAGACCCCAGGAUCUUUUAUUUUUGUCUGGGGCAGAUGGGGUUAAUUUAACCCCUUUGUGACCCUUAGUUUACAGGUUUAAGUUACCCUGGGGAUAACAGAGUAAUAGUCUAUUAGAGUUCUUAUCGAUUGGACUGUUUGCUACCUCGAUGUUGACUUGGGUAAACCCAGAGGCGCAGUAGUUGCUGGGUUUGGUCUGUUCGACCAUAUAAGCCCUCAUGA
rnacentral:rRNA from 1 species